AAAACUCCAUACCCAGACAUGAUUUCUUUAACCUCUCCGCUGCCUCUGAUUUCAUUCAGUUCUCAAUAUAUUUUUUAUCAUACGAUGAAUUCAAAAUCACGAAUGAUGUUUGAAAAUUAGUGAGACUCGAUGAACUCACAGGUCGGAAGCCAACAAGCUAACCGAUCAAAGCCGAACUGAAAUUGACAGGUAGCAACCCCAUCACAAAUUGAGCAUUCAAUUUUACUCGAAUCGAUUCAGUUUUUCUUCAAGUUAUCAAGUGGUUCAAAAUCCAUUCGUUGGUUUAUUCGUUUAUCAAACUAGUAUUUCUUUCGCAUUCGAUUGUAAAUGUUUUGAACUUUUUUUGUGUUGAUAUUGUAGUGAAUUUUGAAAGACCUUUAGUGUUUGUCUUUGUCAACUCGCGAUUAGAAAAUACCGUUGCAAAAAUCAUGUUAUUGCUGUACAACACGAUAUACGAUAAUAUAAUACACCGAAUCAAUGAUUUGGAAGAAGAAAUAUCAAGACAAGAGCAUUUAUGUAAGCCUGAAGCAAAACUGUUAUUCGACGAACUUACAUCAGUUCGCGAGAAAAUUAUUGCAUAUGAAACCCAAAUGGAGACAAACAUCAUCGACUUCACCCUGCGUGACCGUUUAUCUAAAUUUCGGCAAGUCUACUUGAGGGUGUUAAAUCUGAGAUUAAAAUUGACGAAAAUUCUUUCUUCAACCGAACCAACAUCGCCGACAGAGACAAACGUAAAUUAUCAAUCCAAGAUGGUAGAACAGUUCGACACCCAGAAAAAUUUGGACUCACAAAUCCAUAAACAAAACUUCCUGAUCAGACAAAUCGAAUCGCUAGAAAUACCCGAAGACAUUUCCGCAGUUAGAGUUCAAGUAAUAAAUAACCAUCUCUCUAAACUUUACGAUUCGUUCAUUUCAAAUCAAGCUCAAAUCGAAACAAACGUCGAAGACGACGCUAAUACUCUCGAAACCCAACAAAAAAUCUCCAAACAAAUCCAACAAAAGGUAAUCGAUUUACAAACGAAGCUGAAAGAAAUCGAAGAAUCGAUGAGCAUUUCCGAUGAUUCGUCCGAAUCAACAGAGACUUAUAUCAAAGCUGAAUUAGACCAGCGAAUUAAAACAGGACAAUCUUCAAUUAAACGAAUACGUUCAUUGGAACCCAAAGAAGACGUUCGUGCAAAAAAGGCGAAAGUUAUGUACACUCAUCUUGAUUCAUCUUCCACCAAACCUGAGGCAAUUGCAUCACAAGAAAUAUUCGAGGAUAUCCGAAAUAACGUUAUUCUACUUCAAACAACACUACAAAAAUUUCUUGACAGCGAACAUCGUGAGAAUAAAUCUUUCGACAAGCUGAGUGACAUUGUGACCUUAAUGUUUCAGCUACUUGAAAAAAAAUACGGAAUUGAUAUUCCGUGAUAAUACUUAGCUGUUUAGAAUCAAAAACAUUGAUAGGCUGUUGAUAUUUUCAAUAAUUAUUUACUAUUUAUAGAAUGAAAGGUCGUUGUUUUCUUUUUUAUAUUUAUACGAGUAUUUAUACUUUUGAAUAUUUCGAAGAUAGGUAAAUAUGGUAAUUUUUUGAUUUACAGAUUGUAGUAUAGGUAUUCAAUAUUGCAAUACAAUGAAAAUAAGAAAAGCUGUUUUUGAUUUAUACUAUAUGAAUUUUAGAUUUUAUUUUGAUGUUUAGAAAAAUAAAAUUGUUAUUUAGGUACAUGUAAUUUUUAAGAAACAUUAUACUCGUAAAUACAAAACCAACUUUAAUGUAGGCAAUUUAUAGUGAAUUACAUUAAGAAUUUUGAAAUUUAAAUAAUACGUAUGUACAUAUAAUUUUAGUAGGUAG